rnacentral:rRNA from 1 species
UAGGGAAUCUUCCACAAUGGGCGCAAGCCUGAUGGAGCAACACCGCGUGAGUGAAGAAGGGUUUCGGCUCGUAAAGCUCUGUUGUUAAAGAAGAACACGUAUGAGAGUAACUGUUCAUACGUUGACGGUAUUUAACCAGAAAGUAACGGCUAAAUACGUGCCAG